rnacentral:rRNA from 1 species
AUCUCUGUAGAGUCUGCAUAUCAAUAAGCGGAGGAAAAGAAACUAACAAGGAUUCCCUUAGUAACGGCGAGUGAAGCGGGAAGAGCUCAAAUUUGAAAUCUUCAAGGUUCUACCUUGACGAAUUGUAGUUUAAAGAAGUGUUUUCUGUUGGAUGAGUAGCAAAAGUUCCUUGGAAUGGGACAUCAUAGAGGGUGAGAAUCCCGUAUUUGGUUAUUCAUUCUAGCUUUGUGAUACACUUUCAAAGAGUCGGAUUGUUUGGGAAUGCAGUCCGAAAUGGGUGGUAAAUUUCAUCUAAAGCUAAAUACUGGCGAGAGACCGAUAGCGAACAAGUACCGUGAGGGAAAGAUGAAAAGAACUUUGAAUAGAGAGUUAAACAGUACGUGAAAUUGUCAAAAGGGAAGCGUUUGACACCAGUGUUGUUUUCUCGAAAAUCAAUUAAGAAUGGCAUGAUUCUGUGUUGUAUUGACCUUUAUCAGCUUUCUUCACUCUUUUCGAUGUCUUUCUUAAUGCACUUUUCGGUUAACAAGUCAACAUCAAUUUCUUUUGUUGUAAAAGAGUCAUUGGAAGGUGGCUUUCUUUUCGGAGAAAGUGUUUAUAGCCUUAUGCCUCUACAAUCGGAGAGAUUGAGGUCUGCAGCGUAAAUCCUUCGGGGUUAGAUACACUUGUGCUAAGUUGUAGCUUUUCAUAGACAACUUGUUGACUAUGUUUAGUCAUGCGGCUUACUCGCUUAGUGCUAUUUUACCUACGCUUAGGAUGUUGAAGAUGUAGCACAUCAU